GCUUCACCGCCCCCUUUCCUCGAGCCUCCGCCUGCCCCAAAAUUUUUCUUGCCCGGGCUCCCUAGCCCACCUCCUCCAUGGCCGGUCGGUUGGCGUCGGUCAUGGCCAUUCUCGACUCGCUACCGUCGUCCCUGAUCUGACUUCCUACUGCAUCUCCUCUCUUGGUGGUGUAGCGGCGGACGUGUGCGGGGUCAGUGGCGAGGUUAGAGCGGCACUGGGCAAGAUCCGUGCGAGGAAACGGAGGGGGCCGACCCUGGACACGGGAGUCGGACUUGCUCGCCGCUGGAGGCGGCAGCCGGCUGGAGGCGUUCGACGACCGGCCCUUGGAGCCAUGGAGUACCACGCCGCCUCUGGCCAUCACCCACCACCACCAGAUUGGAAGAGGGUGAGGAGUCUGAGGAAGAGGCGACGAGGAUCCACCACACGCCGCCUUUCCCAGAUCCCCAAACCCUCACGCUUCACCUCGAUCUCCUCCUGCCAGCAAGUGGCGGCUCCUCGAUGACCGGCCUACCAGCCCAUCGAGUUCGUCAAGAACGGCUUGAUCAUGUGUUGGUCCGCCACGCGCCGUUGCUGGACGAUUAGCCGCUGGCGAGAUCUCUCCCGUGACGGCAACCCAAUGCAUCCACUAAUGGAUUCCAGCCACUGGAGAGUGGAGAUCAUCGUUCGGUCGGCGACCAUGGGAAUUCCGCGUUCUGUUCGUCGUGACUGCAGGAGGGUAAUCUGUGUGCGUUGGAUGCAUCCGGGAAUACAUGGAUCAGGAAACAAAGCAGAUAUUAUACAAGCCGGACUUCAUCAUUGCUGAGCGUGAGGGAGAGAGCUACGUACUGAACAUUCUACUCACCAAGCUGAUCACUAGGGAGCACUGGUCGUAUCUAGCUUGCAAAGAAUGCUCAAAAAUAACAUACAGCAAGAACAAGGUACAUCAACAUCAUUACAACCUUCCCUCCCGUUCUUAAGUUCACAAGUGCUGUAUCCUGUUCCUGAACAAAAAAGAUUAAACAAGUGUCGAUUUGUUCCUCUUUUUUGAUGUUUUGGAAAACAAUUAAUUUUGCAACUGCUCCGAAAAAAGGAAGUAAAAUGCUUGAGUCCACUAAGGCAUUUUAUGUAGACACCCCAAGUACUGAAAAGAAAGUUCAUCUAUAAGGUCAGCACAUCAUAUUGCUUCAUAGUUAUGCCAUUAAUAGAACCCGUAAGACCCUUUAAUCGUCAUGCCACUUGGUGUUGAAAAAUUUAUUUCCUGUCUCUACGUUGUGAGAACUCAAACUUUAAGAACUAUAGUCACUAAAUGGUUGGAGAACAUGUGAUAAAAUAUACCAGACUCAGCAAUUGGGAAAAAUGGGUGUUCUUUCGUUUAAAAGUAUCUCUCCUGUGAAGCAAUAUGCUCGGCAAGGUGUUUUCAUAAUAUAUUGCUUUUUUCAUUAGUUCAAUAUCUCUGCCACUGGGUACACCAUAGAUAAAGGUUCGGGAACGGUGUCAACUUAGUUCUAUAACAACGCAUUAUCGCAGCUUCUGAAAAAACUAUCUAGGAGGCUUUUAUUUCGAGGGAGUUUGAUAGUCAGCCUAAACUGAAAAAUUAACUAGAACUACAUUAGUCAGCCCUGAAAAUGUAGAGUUUGAUUUUAAGUUGAGAAGCUUUGCAACGUUUAGCCCCUAGAAGUUGUAUGUAUCUUCUUUUAUCAUUAUCUUCCACUUUGCACUACAUGCGACUUGAAUUGUUUACGCAGAAUAUGGAUUACGAUAAAUUUUACUAGAGGGGCUCAUACAUAGAUUUGCAGAUUAUUGCUUUGACAUUGUGGUCUUUUGAUGUAUAUAUCACUGAUUUUUUAUUUGUCCUUGAUACACAGGUUACAAGCUAUUUCCAUGAGUUUUCUAGACAUCAUGUUAUGAAAAUACUUCAUAUACGUAUAACACCCCCUCCCUUGUUGGGAGAACAUUCAAGUCAAAUACAUACUUGGUGAAUUGUUUCAAACCCUGAAUACCUACAUUUACCUUUGGAUAGUACUUUUCAUUCUGGGUCCAGGAAGCAUGAAGAGGAGAAACACUCUUAUGUAUAUGCAAAGGGAAGCAAUGCAUCUUUACAGUAUGUUCUUUUUCUCAUCAAAUCUGUAUUCUACAUCAAUAUGAUACUUUCUUUGAGGUCCAUUGCACGUUUGACAUUAAGUAAACAAAGAUGCCAACUUAUUUUGUAGUUCAUUGAAACUAAAAAAAUUCCAAUUCAAUUAUGCUAGCUUCCAUAUUAUGAUAAAAUGUUACUCUGCCAUGGUGCCAUGUGUUCACUAUGUUUAGUGAAACAAAUAAGCGAUAGUCCUCUUGAGUGCUACAAAAUAAGUUAGCAAUAAUCAUAUUCCGAUGUCACGUGUUUAUCCAAGGAUUAUUUCAUUUAGUACAUACUCUUCUUCAGGUAUCAAAAAAAAUCCUCCCAGUAAAUUAGGCUGGAUCCUGAACAUUUUGAUCUUAUUAUUUCCUUCUCCUAUUUUGUUCCUUAUGUAUUGCUAUGUCAUUUUAGCCUACUAUCUUUCUUGAACAUUUUGGCCUUUCCUUUUAUUUCUUCUAUUUAGUUACUUAUGUACUGCUAAUUUAUUGAAUAAGCUAUUAAUGUUUUGGGCUAGGAAGUUACAUUUUUGGAAACCAAUAUAGUUUCUCAUUUCAUCUACUGAAGUUGACGCUGAUUAUAGCUGCAUUUCUCUAUUAUCGUCCUAACCCUUCUCUGGGUUUCAUUUGCGAAUUGAUAACCUGGUACACAAGGACAUGAAUGCAAAUGAGGUAUAACAUGAACUUAGAAGUUUAAACCUACUUCAAUCUAGAACUCUCAAAGAUAGCAAAAGUCCUCUAUGUUGAGUUUGUUCUCCAUGCAGUUCAAACUUCUAAGUUCCAUCUUCUUGAAUCAUGACACAACACUAUAGUUCUAGAUUGUUAAACAAUUUUUAAUUGCAAAUAACACAUUCAUUAACUAGACUGGUGAGGUUUUCAUUGAAUCAUUAUACUGCUUUACCUCUACUAUUAGUCCAAACUUCGAAGUCUGAUCUUUUUUAAGUCAUCGAAUACAUCAAGGGAAUCACCGUGGAGUUCACCCGGUCCAAACACACCAGGGAAGCCGCAUGGGCUCUCUAUGUCAGCCAACCAGAUGGCGAUCGAAAGGAUCCUCUGGUGGGAUGGUGAUGGCUUUGCCAGUGGUGAUGACUGAUGAGGCAGUAUCCUCCUCCGGGGAAAUAUGAGCCACGCCAGCCCGUAAUCACUCUGUCAAUACUUUUCUUAUUUGACAAUGAGGAUGAUGACAGCAAGCGGUGAUGUCCCUGGGCCAAGGAGGCACUUAUCCUAGCUUAGUAUUUGGUUGUUUCCUUUGAGUUUUAUCUACUACAUGUGUGUUAUGUACCUGAUUUCAUUGCCUUCAGUUAUGAUCUUAUCUAUUAAGGGCAUGUUACUGAGGAAAUAAACAGUUCAAAACGCCUACUCUAGGGUGUUGUAGAUGGCAGUUCCAUCUGUAUAUAGGGCUCCACGUGUGUCCAUUUUUUUUUUAAACUUUUGGUCUGUUUGUGUUCUUAUGUGAAAUUUUCAUUACAAUUCAUUUUUGUUCUUAUGUGUGAUACUGUUCAACUUGCACGUUGUAACUUUUGCUCAUUUUGUAUUUCCUAUGAUCAAUGUGCAUUCGGUUCAUGGUAAAGUAGAGCGUAUUUGCAACAAUAAAAUGUUAGUUCCGAAUGCAGAACACAUUGCUUAAUCCAUGUUUGCA